rnacentral:rRNA from 1 species
AUUGAACGCUGGCGGAAUGCUUUACACAUGCAAGUCGAACGGCAGCACGGACUUCGGCCUGGUGGCGAGUGGCGAACGGGUGAGUAAUACAUCGGAACGUACCUUAUCGUGUGGGAUAACGCAGCGAAAGCUGUGCUAAUAACGCAUACGCCCUGAGAGGGAAAGCGGGGGAUCGAAAGACCUCGCGCGAUUAGAGCGGCCGAUGCCUGAUUAGCUUGUUGGUGGGGUAAAAGCCCACCAAGGCGACGAUCAGUAGCUGGGCUGAGAGGACGAUCAGCCACACUGGGACUGAGACACGGCCCAGACUCCUACGGGAGGCAGCAGUGGGGAAUUUUGGACAAUGGGGGCAACCCUGAUCCAGCAAUGCCGCGUGAGUGAAGAAGGCCUUCGGGUUGUAAAGCUCUUUUGUCAGGGAAGAAACACCGGCUCUAACACAGUCCGGGAAUGACGGUACCUGAAGAAUAAGCACCGGCUAACUACGUGCCAGCCGCCGCCGUAA